AUGAACGCUGGCGGCCUGCCUCACCCAUGCAAGUCGAACGAAGGCUUCGGCCUUAGUGGCGCACGGGUGCGUCACGCGUGGGAAUCUGCCCUUGGGUUCGGAAUAACAGUUAGAAAUGACUGCUAAUACCGGAUGAUGUCGUAAGACCAAAGAUUUAUCGCCCAAGGAUGAGCCCGCGUAGGAUUAGCUAGUUGGUGGGGUAAAGGCCUACCAAGGCGACGAUCCUUAGCUGGUCUGAGAGGAUGAUCAGCCACACUGGGACUGAGACACGGCCCAGACUCCUACGGGAGGCAGCAGUGGGGAAUAUUGGACAAUGGGCGAAAGCCUGAUCCAGCAAUGCCGCGUGAGUGAUGAAGGCCUUAGGGUUGUAAAGCUCUUUUACCCGGGAUGAUAAUGACAGUACCGGGAGAAUAAGCUCCGGCUAACUUCGUG
rnacentral:rRNA from 1 species